rnacentral:rRNA from 1 species
AUGGGCCUGGAGGAAGGCGAGAAGCCGCACGCCGUGUGCCUGCCGGCACUGGCGCAAGGGCACAUCACGCCGAUGCUGGAGAUGGCCAAGCUCCUGCACGCCCGGGGCUUCCACUUCACCUUCGUCAACACCGAGUUCAACCAUCGCCGGCUGCUCCGCUCCCGCGGGACGGCGGCACUCGACGGCCUCCCGAGCUUCCGCUUCGCCGCGAUACCAGACGGGCUCCCCCCGUCAGAGGCCGACGCCACCCAGGACGUCCCCGCCCUGUGUUACGCCAUGGCGACCACCUUUCUCCCCCACCUCCAGGCCCUUCUUGCCAAGCUCAACGACCCGAGCUCCGGGGUGCCGCCGAUCACCUGCCUCGUCGUCGACGGUGUCGCAUCGUUCAGCUACGAUGCCGCGGAGGAGCUCGGCGUGCCUUGCGUCGCGUUGUGGACGUCCAGUGCCUGCGGGUUCAUGGGAUACCGCCACUUCCGUCGGCUUAUCGACCGUGGUCUUGUGCCUUUCAAAGACGAGGAGCAGCUGACGGACAACGGGCAUCUCGACACGGCGGUCGACGGCAUGAGCGGCAUGUGCGACGGCAUACGGCUGCGCGACUUCCCGACGAUGAUCCGCACCACCGACCGCGACGACAUCAUCCUCAACUACUCAACUACGUCAUGCGCGAGGCCGAGAGGCUGUCGCUCCCAGACGCCGUCCUGCUCAACACCUUCGACGCACUCGAGCAGCCGGUUCUCGACGCCAUGCGCGCCGUCCUCCCGCCCAUGUACACCGUCGGUCCGCUGCAUCUCCACACCAGCAACGUCGUCCCCACCGGCACCCCGCUCGACGGCCUCGGCUCCAACCUCUGGAAGGAGCAGGACGGCCUCCUCGCGUGGCUCGACGGGCACGGCGCCGGAGCCGUCGUGUACGUCAACUACGGAAGCGUCGCCGUGA